rnacentral:rRNA from 1 species
GGCGUGCCUAUAAUGCAGUCGUGCGGGUAUCGAAAGAUACCAGCGGCGGACGGGUGAGGAACACGUGGGGAAUCUGCCUAACAGACCGGAAUAACGCCUGGAAACGGGUGCUAAGGCCGGAUAGGCGCAUGAGGCGCAUGCCUGAUGCGGGAAAGGAUGCUAUGGCAUCGCUGACAGAGGACCCCGCGGCGCAUUAGCUAGUUGGUAGGGUAAAGGCCUACCAAGGCGACGAUGCCUAGCCGACCUGAGAGGGUGACUGGCCACACUGGGACUGACACACGGCCCAGACUCCUACGGGAGGCAGCAGUAUGGAAUCUUCCGCAAUGGGCGCAAGCCUGACGGAGCAACGCCGCGUGAGCGAGGAAGGCCUUCGGGUUGUAAAGCUCAGUCAAGGGGGAAGAGCGGCAAGGAGAGGGAAUGCUCUUUGCGAGACGGUACCCCAAGAGGAAGCCCCGGCUAACUACGUGCCAGCAGCCGCGGUAAU